UUUGGAGAUCGGAAGGUGCGGCUAGAAGAGCAACUUCAAGACAUACAUCUUUUGCGAAGGAAAUUUUGCAUUUGGAGUUUAUGUGAAGGAGUUAUAGGGAGUUAAAGACAAUGCAUUCAAAUCAAAGGCAGUAAGUGAGUGGUUUUGUUCAAAGUAGUGUUAGGAGCCAUAACUUGAGUUUUCGAACGAAAUUUUGGCUCAAACUUUGGAAGAAUUUAAACAUUUGUGUUAAGAAGCUAUCUAUAUAAGUUUCGUGGCAUUUAAACUUAUGAUUUGUGAGAUAUGAAGAAAAUUGCGCGUGGAUAUAUAAAGAUUAGGGUUUGAAGCGACUGUUAGGGUUUUGAAGAUAUCUCAAGAUCCGUAGCGAAUUUGCAGUUGAAAUUUGUUGUACAAAUUAAUAACAACAUAUCAGUACUUCAUGUAAAUUUUGAUCUUGUUUGGACGGUUGGAUCAAGAGUUAUAAGGUGUUGAGAUUCGGGAGAAUUUCCACACAAGGAUAUACAAGGUUGUAGAGUACUUCUACCAUAUUUUGGGUGUUGUUGGUUAUUUAAGACUUAAGUAUUUGGUGUAAUUGUCCCAAAAGGAGAACUUAUAUAUAUAAAAUUAGGAUUUCCUUAUUUUAAGCUUGAUUGAGCAAUUAGUGACAGCUAGAAGCUUAGCGCUUUCUUGAGGCAAAACCUCUCUAUCUCGACAUCUUGGUGCUUCCAUUGAGAGAGCCUUAAGGCACUAAUUUCCUCAAUAAGCUAAAAUAGGGGAUGAAAGUCUAGGGUUUGGAUUACGAGGAGGUAUAGUUGCCUAUGAUUUAUUC
rnacentral:lncRNA from 1 species